rnacentral:rRNA from 1 species
UGGGGAAUAUUGGGCAAUGGGGGAAACCCUGACCCAGCGACGCCGCGUGAGGGAAGAAGGUUUUCGGAUUGUAAACCUCUGUCCUUGGUGACGAUAAUGACGGUAGCCAAGGAGGAAGCCACGGCUAACUACGUGCCAGCAGCCGCGGUAAUACGUAGGUGGCGAGCGUUGUCCGGAAUUACUGGGUGUAAAGGGAGCGUAGGCGGGAGAGCAAGUCGACUGUGAAAUCUAUGGGCUUAACCCAUAGCUGCGAUCGAAACUGUUCAUCUUGAGUGAAGUAGAGGCAGGCGGAAUUCCUAGUGUAGCGGUGAAAUGCGUAAAUAUUAGGAGGAACACCAGUGGCGAAGGCGGCCUGCUGGGCUUUAACUGACGCUGAGGCUCGAAAGCGUGGGUAGCAAACAGG